GUGAGCGGGGACGGGGACGGUUCCGCGAUGGCGGCGCACCUGAGCUCGGGGCGCGUGAACCUGACGGCGCUGCGCGAGGCGGGGCGGCGCGAGCUGCGCGAGUUCCUCGACAAAUGCGCGGGGAGCAAGGCCAUCGUGUGGGACGAGUCCCUGACGGGGCCCUUCGGGCUGAUCGCGCAGUACUCGCUGCUCAAGGAGCAUGAGGUGGAGAAGAUGUUCACGCUCAAGCCCGGCCGCCUGCCCCAGGCCGAUGUCAAGAACAUCAUCUUCUUCGUGAGGCCCAAGCUGGAGCUGAUGGACAUCAUCACGGACAACGUGCUCAGGGAGGACAGAGGCCGCUCUCCCCAGAGGGACUUCCACAUCCUGUUCGUGCCGCGCCGCAGCCUGCUGUGCGAGCAGUGGCUGAAGGAGCAGGGGGUGCUGGGGUCCUUCAUCCACCGCGAGCAGUACAGCCUGGACCUCAUACCCUUCGAUGGAGACCUGCUCUCCAUGGAGGCUGAGAGCGCCUUCAAGGAAUGUUACCUGGAGAGCGACCAGACGAGUCUGUACCACGCGGCCAAGGGGCUGAUGACGCUGCAGGCUCUGUACGGAACCAUCCCACAGAUCUUCGGGAAGGGCGAGUGUGCUCGGCACGUGGCUAACAUGAUGAUCAGGAUGAAGCGCGAGUUCCCUGGGAGCCAGAACUCGAUAUUUCCCGUCUUUGACACCCUCUUGUUGCUGGACCGCAAUGUUGACCUGCUGACGCCGCUGGCCACGCAGCUCACCUACGAGGGGCUGAUAGAUGAAAUCUAUGGGAUCCAGAACACUUAUGUGAAACUCCCUCCCGAGAAGUUUGCCCCGAAGAAGCAGGGUGAGGGUGGGAAAGAUCUCCCCACAGAACCCAAGAAGCUCCAGCUGAACUCUGCUGAAGAGCUCUAUGCUGAAAUCCGGGACAAGAACUUCAAUGCUGUCGGGUCAGUGCUGAGCAAGAAAGCCAAGAUCAUCUCUGCAGCCUUUGAGGAACGCCACCACGCAAAGACCGUUGGAGAGAUUAAACAGUUUGUCUCACAGCUGCCACACAUGCAGGCGGCAAGAAGCUCUCUAGCAAACCACACCUCCAUUGCAGAACUCAUCAAAGACAUCACCACAUCUGAAGAUUUCUUUGAUAAUUUAACGGUGGAACAAGAGUUCAUGUCUGGAAUAGACACAGACAAGGUUAACAAUUACAUUGAAGACUGCAUAGCUCAAAAACAUCCAUUAAUCAAGAUCUUGCGCCUCGUUUGCUUGCAAUCUGUGUGCAAUAGUGGACUGAAGCAGAAGGUUCUGGACCAUUACAAAAGAGAGAUUCUCCAGGUUGGGCUGAACUUUUGGAUCCACACAUUUCUGAGACAAUCCCACCAAAUCCUCAGCUCUGCAGCACUUCCCUUCUAGACAGACCCAUCAACACAUGGCCAGCGUGUGCAGAGGGAGCACUGAGGCUUCUGGGUGGGCUGACAGCAAUGGCUCAGGAGACUUACGGCUAUGAACAUAUAUUGACCUUAAACAACUUGGAGAAGGCUGGACUCCUGAAACCUCAGACAGGCGGCAGGAAUAACUACCCAACGAUCAGGAAAACCCUGCGCUUAUGGAUGGAUGAUGUUAACGAACAGAACCCCAAUGACAUUUCCUACGUGUACAGUGGCUACGCGCCGCUGAGCGUCCGCCUGGCCCAGCUACUGGCUCGCCCAGGGUGGAGGAGCAUAGAGGAGGUUCUGAAGAUGCUGCCGGGUCCCCAUUUUGAGGAGAGGCAGCAGCUACCCACUGGCCUUCAGAAAAAGCGUCAACACGGUGAGAACCGAGUCACGCUGGUGUUCUUCCUGGGAGGAGUAACGUACGCAGAAAUUGCUGCACUGAGAUUUCUGUCCCAGAUGGAAGAUGGAGGCACAGAGUAUGUCAUUGCCACUACAAAACUGAUCAAUGGGACAAGCUGGAUCAAAUCCUUGAUGGAAAAACUAGAACCUGCCCCAUUCUAAGGUCUGUGGUGAGAGACAGUGAAGGUGAGAGGCCCCACGAACACAGGCACAUCAGCUUCUGGUCUUUUGGCAUGGCUUGAACAUCGGGGAGACAAGACAGUGCAAGAAGGUCUCCUGAGACCAGCUCAUGAUGGAGUUUACCCUCAUCCCUCUCUGCACUUGUGUACCUACUGUUUGUGGAACUUCCUAGUAGACAAAGUAGCUCCUUUAGAGCUACUUUAGCUCCUUAGAGCUGAAAGACACUAACAAUGAAAUAAACAGUGGGAGAAAGAGAGAUCCCUGCUCGUGGUCUGGAUUGGCAAACAAGUGAUGGGGUAGCAGGGGUUGGGCCUGGUCCUUCCAUUUGGCAAAUUGCUGGGGUUUUUUUUCCCUUUACUUUCAGUGGAAAUGUGAUUACUUCUUUUUACCCUCCUAAGGUGCUGAGGAGGCAGGAUGUUUUCUGUUCCUGCUUUCAUACCAAUAUUCCCAGCUGACUGCACAAUGGAAAGAGAACUCCUAUAGAGGGGAAGCAGUAACUUUUUUACUGCAUACAUUUAGAAACUUCCUGGCUCUCAGGCAUCGAGAAUAAUGCAGCUGCAGGACAUGCUUGGCCUGUGGCAGCUCUUACAGGCUGGCUGUUAUGGUUAGGUGCCUGUAGGCCACACUGAAGUCCACUGUCCUGAAUGCUUUGGCCAAGACAUUCACUGGGUUUCCUGCAGCAACAGCUAAACCUGGAACUAUCCACAUGCACGUCAACAGCACUGACUAUGAAAACAAGCAACUGCACCCAAAUUAUGAGAUGCUUGAGUCUUCUACUGCAGUCGCCCUCUGAAGGUUUGUUUGUCCUGGGUACACCCACCUGACUCAGGAAAGCUACUCCAGGGUAUGAAUUACAUCAGUAUGUCAAGAGCUUAUGUCUGAAGACACACAAACACUCCUUGCAUGGGACUCAGGCCAAAAAUAGCUAUGUCAGUGACCCAGUAAACAGCGGGUUUCAGACAGACACUUUUUUCUCUCCCCCUGUUCAGUUUAUAAACUGUGGUACUUGCUGCUGCAACUGGUGUAGAGCUCAACAUUAUAAAAUGGAAUUUUCCAUGGUCUUGGUGGCAGGGCCCUUGGUGGUGCUGAGCCAACGGGUGCCAAGAGGCAGCUUCAGCUCUCGGAGACUUGGCCUUGCUGAUGGCCAGGGGCUGGGAAGGCAGAGCAGGGUCCUUGCUUACCGUGUGCAGCUGCCACUGCCAGAGCCUGCUGCUGUGCCUCAGCCCUCUCUCCCCACGGUCACCAUCACUCUACUCACAUGCUUCUACAGCAACCACUGGGGACUGAUUCAUGCUACGUUUUACUCUUAAAUAGUUAAAAACAACUGAAAAAAAACCCAUCCCACACCUGAAAUCACUCUCAGCAAACACAGCUGCUCUCAGUUAUCCUGCAUAAUGCACAUUACAUCCCAAAACCCCCUGCAUUUUGCCAAGGUGUUAAACUUACGACUGUGGGUUUCAGUCUUGUUUUGUAAGACUGAGUUCUGCCAAAUCAGCCCAGUCACAGAGCCCCCCUGUCUGUCUAACUCCACUUGGCUCAUUAUAACAAAAUAAAAAGUGUGUUUGAUCUUUU